rnacentral:sRNA from 1 species
CAUGUUCGACUUGCUGCGGCGAGAUCAGGUGGAUGUGGCUGUCGAUGCCGCCGGCGGUCAGCAGCAGGUGUUCGCCGGAGAUCGCGUCCGUACUGACGCCGACCACCAUCCCCGGCGUUACGCCGGUCAUGACGUUCGGGUUGCCGCUUUUACCGAUGCCAACGAUGUUGCCGUUUUUGAUACCCACAUCGGCUUUCACUACCCCCUGAAGGGCAUCAACAAUGGUGACAUUGGUGAUCACCAGAUCGAGGACGUUCUCACUGGUCAUCAGGUUGUUGGCACCCAUGCCAUCGCGCAG